UACGUAGGGGGCAAGCGUUGUUCGGAAUUACUGGGCGUAAAGGGCGCGUAGGCGGCCCGGCAAGUCAGGAGUGAAAGCCCUGGGCUCAACCCGGGAACUGCUUUUGAAACUGCCGAGCUAGAGUGCGGAAGGGGCAACUGGAAUUCCCAGUGUAGCGGUGAAAUGCGUAGAUAUUGGGAAGAACACCUGAGGCGAAGGCGGGUUGCUGGGCCGACACUGACGCUGAUGCGCGAAAGCCAGGGGAGCGAACGGG
rnacentral:rRNA from 1 species